ACGGGAGGCAGCAGCUAAGAAUAUUCCGCAAUGGACGAAAGUCUGACGGAGCGACGCCGCGUGGAUGAUGAAGGUCGAAAGAUUGUAAAAUCCUUUUAGGAGUGGAGAAUAAGCGGUGCAGGGAAUGGCAUCACGGUGUCGGUAGCUCCUGAAUAAGCAACGGCUAAUUACGUGCCAGCAGCCGCGGUAACACGUAAGUUGCGAACGUUGUUCGGAAUUAUUGGGCGCAAAGGGUAUGUAGGCGGUCGUGCAAGCGUGGUGUGAAAGGCAGGGGCUCAACCCCUGGACUGCAUUGAGAACUGCAAGACUUGAAUUGCUGAAGGGCAGCCGGAAUUCCAGGUGUAGGGGUGAAAUCUGUAGAUAUCUGGAAGAAUACCAAUGGCGAAGGCAGGUUACCAGCAGAUGACUGCCGCUGAGGUGCGAAGGUGCGGGGAGCAAACAGGAUUAGAUACCCUGGUA
rnacentral:rRNA from 1 species